CCCUAAACUGCCCAUGCCGGACCCCGCCGAACUGGAGGAGAGAUUUGCGAUCGCACUGAACUCUAUGAACCUUCCUCCGGAUAAAGUGAGGCUCCUUAGACAGUAUGACAACGAAAAAAAUGGGAGCUGAUAUGUGAUCAGGAACGAUUCCAAGUGAAGAAUCCUCCCCAUACAUACAUUCAGAAGCUCAGAAGCUUCCUGGACCCUGCCGUCACCAGGAAGAAAUUUAGAAGGCGGGUUCAAGAGUCAACUCAGGUGCUCAGAGAGCUGGAGAUAUCUCUUAGGACCAAUCACAUCGGGUGGGUGAGAGAGUUUCUCAAUGAAGAAAAUAAAGGGCUUGAUGUUCUUGUGGAGUACCUGUCUUUUGCCCAGUAUGCUGUCACAUUUGAUGGAGAUGUAACAGAG